CCGGACCCCGCAGCCCGUCCCGCUCCGGCCGCCUCCCCGCGCCCGUCCCGCCGCCGCAGCCGGCCUCACUGCGACACCGCGGCGCUGCCGAGGCCUCGGCACUCACCAGCAUCGCGCGUCCCGCAGAGUCAGGCCCGGCCGCGCCGCGUCCGCCCGCCCCUUCCGCCUCCGCCAGGCCCCGGAUCCGCCGCCGCCUCCCUCCCCCGCGCGGCCCCAGAGGAGGAGGAGCGAGCACCGCCCCCGCCGCACAGCGCGCCCCGCCCCGGCUCCCACCCGCCAGCCCGCGGGGAGAGAGCGUCUCCGGCCUGCCCCGGCCCCUGUCCGUCCCGGCAGCACGCGGGGGAAGCGGGGCUCCCUCCAGCACCGGGGGGGUCUCCCCAGUAGCAGAGAGAGAGAGGGCUACCCAGCUCCCAGCGCCAGACCAGGGUGAUUCUCCAGCUCCCCGGGGGAGUCCGCCCAGCACCCACCUGCCAACACCGGGGGGGCUCCCCAGCAUCCCCCCGCUGAUCCCCAGGGAGAGAAAUGAGGUUGAGUGACCGAGCGACACUUGGGGCGCUCCCCUCCCCAUCACAAUAGGAUGGAGACAGAGGGGAAGCUAACUAAUCCUUCAGCAACCACACACCCCCCCCGCACUCAGCCCCAGAGGGAAUGGAGGACUGAGCCCCCUCCCACAGCCCGCAUUAGAGAGAAGGGGAGGAGAGAGGGCUAGCUAAAACCCUUGCCAAGUUAAUAUACUUUUAUUUAUGCCAGUCACGUUGGUCAUAGAAUCCUCUGUUGUCCUCCCUUGGAGGAUGGAUGUAAUAUUACAUUUGAUAUCAACAUAUCAGUGUGUAGUGGUAUGACUUGUGGGGAAAAUCAAGUGCCCAGAAAGUCACAGAAAGUGGAGGGACGGCUAUAACUCAGACUUGUUUUUUGUUAACUCGGAUAACUUGUGCUGAAGUGGCACAACUCCAGUAGUGGCCACAGUUUGACUGAAAGAGGUCUCCUUUGAGAGAGAUUCAGUCCUGUUCUGUUUACCGGGGCAAGUGUUGAAGCUACAGGUCCAUUUAUUUUUUAUUUACAGAUAUUUAAAUGAGAUCUAGAGGAUAGGAUGACAUUGGGGUAAUGUAUUGCCUCACUGGGUAGGUAGAAGUCAUGUUAUAGCAGACAGGAAUUAGUGAAGGCCUGGUGCUACUAUAUGACAUUGCUGCCUGUAACAUUUUCAGUUAUUGCAAGUUAAGCUGGGUUGAACCUGAACAUUGUUUGAAGGGGAGACUUAAUUCAGUAGUUGCUAUUUGCUCCCUAUAAGCAAUACCCUCGAAUGAUGAUGAUGGCAUUGUGCUGGUGGAAGUACUGCCUUUCACGAGACAUUAACCCCUCUGCAGUAACUAAAGACUGUAGGGCAUAUCUUGCAAAACUGAGAGCAUCCUGCCAAAGUAGCAGUUUAGAUAAUAUACUGACUAGCUAGCUCUAGUGCCUCUGCCAUUUCACUUGGGUAUAUGUUCAUUGUCUGUCCUAAACUGUUGUCUGUUACUCACUAUUAAAGAGGUUUCCCCCCCUGAAAAAGGAGAAGAGAUGGGAUUUAGGGACCUUUACACAGGGUGUCUGCACACUUCUGUGCACCUGAGAAUUUUGCUGUGGGAGGACUCUCUUCACCCUAUCAUUGCAGAUACUGAUCCAUUGGCCAUUCUCCUCUGCAGACAGAGGGCCAGAUUCUGAUCUUAGUUAUACCGAAGGAAAUUUGGAGUAACUGCAUUGAAGUCAAUGGAGUUGCUCUGCUUUUACACCAGUAUAAAGGACAUCAGAAUCUGGCCCAAGGAGUGCAACACUCAGAGUAUACUAUGAUACAAGUUGUACAAGCAGUAGAGAACCAGGUUAGGGGAGAAUAUUCCUUUACACCCUGAAAUUAUCAGCUCACAUUUAGGCACCACGGGCUGUGCACCAUUUUCAAAAUUUGUCUGUGAAAAAUAUCCCACAAAUAGCUGUUGUCCACACAACCUCUUCAAAGGAUUAUUUCCUUAUACAAUAAAAUCUUCUCCAGAACCAUCCAUUGAAGUGAAUAUAAUCAAAUUCAUUGAGACAGCUCCUCUAAGAAAACAGUGCUGGCAUAGCAGUCAGGAAGCACCACUUUGGAAGUAGGGUCAGUAGAUGCGAUGGACCCUAUUUGCCAACUGUGGAGCACUGCAUCAUGUGCACUGUAAUUGCCCAUGAAAAAUUGCUUUACAAGCACUAUCCCUGGGCAUGAUAUAACUCCUGCUCUGGCAAAUGAGAAGUGCUAUGUAUUAGAGGUGAAGUUAAUGCACCUGAUGAAUAACAUGCAGUCGUCUUGGUGGAGUCUGGACAAAGAUGAUCAGAAGGAAGAGGAAACCAAAUAUGGGAUUGCCCAUCAAACAGGAUUGGAGCCUUGGAACUGUAAAUGAAGACGCAUGCUAAGGAAAAGCCCAUGUUGUGACAGAAACACUUGCCAGAUUGCUUUCCAGGGAAAACAGCUAUAAGAAUGGAUCCAGGGAAUGAUCUUGUAUCUGAGUUGUUUGGACACUUUCAGGGAGCAUUCCAGAUGCAAGACAGAGAUCCCCAAAGUCAUUUUGGGUAACCCCAAGAGACUUAUGGAAACAGAUUACUACAUCUCUGCUAUCACUUUGGACUUACAAACUUGGACUCAUCUGUUAAUGUAUUUUACCUGCUCUAAACCACUCAAUAACUCUUCUUUUUCUUAGCUAAUAAACCUUUAGUUUACUA